GCAUAUCAAUAAGCGGAGGAAAAGAAACCAACAGGGAUUGCUCUAGUAACGGCGAGUGAAGCAGCAAUAGCUCAAAUUUGAAAUCUGGCGUCUUCGACGUCCGAGUUGUAAUUUGUAGAGGAUGCUUCUGAGUGGCCACCGACCUAAGUUCCUUGGAACAGGACGUCAUAGAGGGUGAGAAUCCCGUAUGCGGUCGGAAAGGCGCUCUAUACGUAGCUCCUUCGACGAGUCGAGUUGUUUGGGAAUGCAGCUCUAAAUGGGAGGUAAAUUUCUUCUAAAGCUAAAUAUUGGCCAGAGACCGAUAGCGCACAAGUAGAGUGAUCGAAAGAUGAAAAGCACUUUGGAAAGAGAGUUAAAAAGCACGUGAAAUUGUUAAAAGGGAAGGGAUUGCAACCAGACUUGCUCGCGGUGUUCCGCCGGUCUUCUGACCGGUCUACUCGCCGCGUUGCAGGCCAGCAUCGUCUGGUGCCGCUGGAUAAGACUUGAGGAAUGUAGCUCCCUCGGGAGUGUUAUAGCCUCUUGUGAUGCAGCGAGCGCCGGGCGAGGUCCGCGCUUCGGCUAGGAUGCUGGCGUAAUGGUCGUAAUCCGCCCGUCUUGAAACACGGACC
rnacentral:rRNA from 3 species